AUCGACCGAGUGUUACUGGACAGCAUACCGGUCUCCAAAACCGUGUGGUUAGGGUUCGAGUCCCUAGGUCUUUG
rnacentral:tRNA from 1 species